UACGUAGGACGCGAGCGUUGUCCGGAUUUAUUGGGCGUAAAGAGCUCGUAGGCGGUUUGUCGCGUCGGGAGUGAAAACUCAGGGCUCAACCCUGAGCGUGCUUCCGAUACGGGCAGACUAGAGGUAUGCAGGGAGAACGGAAUUCCUGGUGUAGCGGUGGAAUGCGCAGAUAUCAGGAGGAACACCGGUGCGAAGGCGGUCUCUGGGCCAUUACCUGACGCUGAGGAGCGAAAGCAUGGGAGCGAACAGG
rnacentral:rRNA from 1 species